rnacentral:rRNA from 1 species
GAUGAACGCUGGCGGCGUGCUUAACACAUGCAAGUCGAACGGUGAAGCAGAGCUUGCUCUGUGGCUCAGUGGCGAACGGGUGAGUAACACGUGAGCAACCUGCCCCGGACUCUGGGAUAAGCUCUGGAAACGGCGUCUAAUACCGGAUACGAGAUUCCACCGCAUGUUGAGCUUCUGGAACGAUUUUUGGGUCUGGGGUGGGCACACGGCCUAUCAGCUUGUUGGGGAGGUAAUGGCUCGCCAAGGCGUCGGUGGGUAGCCGGCCUGAGAGGGUGACCGGCCAGACUGGGACUGAGACACGGCCCAGACUCCGACGGGAGGCAGCAGUGGGGAAUAUUGCACAAGGGGCGGAAGCCUGAUGCAGCAACGACGCGUGAGGGAUGACGGCCUUCGGGUUGUAAACCUCUUUUAGCAGGGAAGAAGCGAAAGUGACGGUACCUGCAGAAAAAGCGCCGGCUAACUACGUGCCAGCAGCCGCCGUAA